CGGAUUUAUUGGGCGUAAAGCGAGCGCAGGCGGUUUUUUAGGUCUGAUGUGAAAGCCUUCGGCUUAACCGGAGAAGUGCAUCGGAAACCGGGAGACUUGAGUGCAGAAGAGGACAGUGGAACUCCAUGUGUAGCGGUGAAAUGCGUAGAUAUAUGGAAGAACACCAGUGGCGAAGGCGGCUGUCUAGUCUGCAACUGACGCUGAGGCUCGAAAGCAUGGGUAGCGAACAGGAUUAGAUACCCUGGUAGUCCAUGCCGUAAACGAUGAGUGCUAAGUGUUGGAGGGUUUCCGCCCUUCAGUGCUGCAGCUAACGCAUUAAGCAUUCCGCCUGGGGAGUACGAUCGCAAGAUUGAAACUCAAAGGAAUUGACGGGGGCCCGCACAAGCGGUGGAGCAUGUGGUUUAAUUCGAAGCAACGCGAAGAACCUUACCAGGUCUUGACAUCUUUUGCCAGGCUGAGAGAUCAGCUGUUCCCUUCGGGGACAAAAUGACAGGUGGUGCAUGGUUGUCGUCAGCUCGUGUCGUGAGAUGUUGGGUUAAGUCCGCAACGAGCGCAACCCUUAUUGUCAGUUGCCAGCAUUCAGUUGGGCACUCUGGCGAGACUGCCGGUGACAAACCGGAGGAAGGUGGGGAUGACGUCAAAUCAUCAUGCCCCUUAUGACCUGGGCUACACACGUGCUACAAUGGACGGUACAACGAGUCGCGAAACCGCGAGGUCAAGCUAAUCUCUGAAAGCCGUUCUCAGUUCGGAUUGCAGGCUGCAACUCGCCUGCAUGAAGUUGGAAUCGCUAGUAAUCGUGGAUCAGCAUGCCACGGUGAAUACGUUCCCGGGCCUUGUACACACCGCCCGUCACACCAUGAGAGUUUAUAACACCCAAAGCCGGUGAGGUAACCUUCGGGAACCAGCCGUCUAAGGUGGGACAGAUGAUUAGGGUGAAGUCGUAACAAGGUAGCCGUAGGAGAACCUGCGGCUGGAUCACCUCCUUUCUAA
rnacentral:rRNA from 1 species